rnacentral:rRNA from 1 species
GACGUAGGGCGCGAGCGUUGUCCGGAUUUAUUGGGCGUAAAGAGCUCGUAGGCGGCUUGUCGCGUCGUCCGUGAAAACCCACAGCUCAACUGUGGGCUUGCGGUCGAUACGGGCAGGCUAGAGUUCGGUAGGGGAGACUGGAAUUCCUGGUGUAGCGGUGAAAUGCGCAGAUAUCAGGAGGAACACCGGUGGCGAAGGCGGAUCUGCUGGCCUGUCCUGACGGCUCGAGGCGACGAAAGGCUAGGG